rnacentral:tRNA from 1 species
GAGUCUGUAGCUCAGUUGGAUAGAGCAACGGCCUACUAAGCCGUGGGUCGGGGGUUCGAAUCCCUUCAGGCUCG